GGAAGUUGGCAUGACGGGGGCGAGGGAGAGGAAGUGCUGGAAGGCAACACGGGCUUAUCUGGCCGUUGGCCUCGGCAGACCGUUUGCUCCUGCCUCCCAACCAUCCUUCAAGUGUCCUGCCAGACACAGAUGUUUCCUACAGCCACAACAGCGCUAAAGCAGCUACAGGUGUUCAACUCCAACCUCACAGACUUCCAACAAGAUACAGGUGUUCGGCUCUGACCUUACAGACUUCCAACAAGCUGGACCUGCCCCUUCCCUCCCAGCCAUGGGUGUUCUCACAGACCUGGAAAAGCAUCAAAGCAGCCUAUUCUUCCUGGACUUGGUCGACACUUCAGCCUUUUGACCUCCCUACAUCGCCCCCAGUGUCAGCAGGAAGUAGCCAGAAGAGAAUCUAUGCCUGUUAUCCACUUGUUGUUAACAAAAGGCUGAAGUGGUGUGCUUCAGGACCAGGACAGGCAGCUCCAGGUUCUCCCAGUGUUCCCCAGUCCCUACCCGCUGCCUUGCAUGGCUGGCAACUCUCUCUGUUGACAACCCUCUACCCCAAACCCUCUGCCCUAAAUUUUCCAGGGCAGAGACUUCUCUUAUUCUUAACCUUACAACCUGACCAUUUGUUGCUAUAAUUCCCCUCUCUCUCAACCUCUUGCAUGACAACCAAGAGCUGCUUCCAAUGAGCCUAAAUUUACAUACUUUAACUUACCUUAUAAAAGGCAGCCCAAGCUCCCUAUUUUUAAUUAUAGAAAAAGGGAGGAAUGUUGGGAUCAGUAAGCAGGCACUUCUAUGGCCAGCCCCAAGGGACCUGAUAGACCGGUUAUCAGGCAGUUGUGAAGACACCUAGACCACCUGCUGAUCACCUAGAACUACCUGCGCAUGUCCCUGGGUCACCCUAUAAGAGAACUGGGGCCCUCCCCUUUCUCUCUCCUUCCUCUUCCUCUCUCUGGCUCUGUCUCUCUCUCUCUCUGUGUCUCUCUCUCUUUCUCUCUCCCUCUAUCUCCCUCUCUGUAACUCCCUUCCCCUAAUAAACCUCCCACGUGGAACCGAUCUCAUGGUGUGAUUUGUGGACCCGAGUGUAACCUUUACAUUUCCUGUGUUUCCUAACAGAAAGAACACUGUGUUCAAACUACAGGGUCCCCAGCUGGUGCUCUUUGGGGAAGUUUUGGACCCUUGGGAAGAUGGCCUACAUCACUGAAGUGGGUCUCAGGGGGCAGGUGUGAAGGCAAAUAUCUGCUCCUGGUUCUAACUAGUGCUCUCUGCUUCCUGAGCCAUCAAGAGAAAGCAGCAUGGCCCAGGUCCAUUGCCACAGACAAACCCUCCUCAGCCUCCAUGUCGAAAGCAUCCCAGCUGCCUGGAAAAAGGCUCAGACCAACCGAGCCACCUGAAGAGGACGGUCUCCGACUUGUCCAGCUGCCUGCGAGCUGUGCACUGUGCUCUAGGGUUCCAGGUUUUGUAAGCUGUCACCCAUGCUGGGAUGGGCUUUGCUUCAUUUCUCCUCCUGUAGGUAACCCCUCACUUACUCCUGUAAGUAACCCCAAUAAAACUCAUUGGUUCACCAA